UAAUACCAGCACCCCGAGUGGUCGGGACGAUUAUUGGGCCUAAAGCAUCCGUAGCUUGUUCUGCAAGUCCUCCGUUAAAUCCACCUGCUCAACAGAUGGGCUGCGGGGGAUACUACAGGGCUAGGAGGCGGGAGAGGCAAACGGUACUCAGUGGGUAGGGGUAAAAUCCACUGAUCCACUGAAGACCACCAGUGGCGAAGGCGG
rnacentral:rRNA from 1 species